rnacentral:rRNA from 1 species
CCACCUGUGCACCUAUUGUAGUCUUUGUCGGGAUGCAUUGAGGAAGUGGUCAGCCUAUCAGCAGUUGCUGGAUGUGAGGACUUGCAAUGCAGCAGUGUGUUGCUGUCCUUUACUUGGCCACGGAAUCAGUUUCCUGUCAGAGUCUAUGUCAUUUAUUAUACCCUGUAGAAUGUCAUUGAAUGUCUAUACAUGGGCUUGUAUGCCUAUGAAAAUUGUAAUACAACUUUCAGCAACGGAUCUCUUGGCUCUCGCAUCGAUGAAGAACGCAGCGAAAUGCGAUAAGUAAUGUGAAUUGCAGAAUUCAGUGAAUCAUCGAAUCUUUGAACGCAUCUUGCGCUCCUUGGUAUUCCGAGGAGCAUGCCUGUUUGAGUGUCAUUAAAUUCUCAACUCUCUUAUACUUUGUUGUAAAAGAGGGCUUGGAUUGUGGAGGCUUGCUGGCCACUUGCUGGGGUCAGCUCCUCUGAAAUGCAUUAGCGGAACCGUUUGCGAUCUGCCACAAGUGUGAUAAAUUAUCUACACUGGCAAGGGGAUUGCUCUCUGUUGUUCAGCUUCCAAUCGUCUCAGGACAAUUUUUCUGAAUGCUGACCUCAAAUCAG